AGCUCCAAUAGCGUAUAUUAAAGUUGUUGCGGUUAAAAAGCUCGUAGUUGGAUUUCUGCCGAGGACGACGGGUCCGCCCUCUGGGCGUGCAUCUUGUUUGGCCUGGGCAUCCUCUUGGAGAACGUAUUCUGCACUUGACUGUGUGGUGCGGUAUCCAGGACUUUUACUUUGAGGAAAUUAGAGUGUUUCAAGCAGGCACACGCCUUGAAUACAUUAGCAUGGAAUAAUAAGAUAGGAC
rnacentral:rRNA from 1 species